AUUGAACGCUGGCGGCAUGCCUUACACAUGCAUGUCGAACGGCAGCAUGAUCUAGCUUGCUAGAUUGAUGGCGAGUGGCGAACGGGUGAGUAAUACAUCGGAACGUGCCCUGUAGUGGGGGAUAACUAGUCGAAAGAUUAGCUAAUACCGCAUACGACCUGAGGGUGAAAGUGGGGGACCGCAAGGCCUCAUGCUAUAGGAGCGGCCGAUGUCUGAUUAGCUAGUUGGUGAGGUAAAGGCUCACCAAGGCGACGAUCAGUAGCUGGGCUGAGAGGACGAGCAGCCACACUGGGACUGAUACACGGCCCAGACUCCUACGGGAGACAGCAGUGGGGAAUUUUGGACAAUGGGGGCAACCCUGAUCCAGCAAUGCCGCGUGUGUGAAGAAGGCCUUCGGGUUGUAAAGCACUUUUGUCCGGAAAGAAAUCGCACUUACUAAUAUUAGGUGUGGAUGACGGUACCGGAAGAAUAAGGACCGGCUAACUACGUGCCAGCCGCCGCCGUAAGAC
rnacentral:rRNA from 1 species